GGUGGGUUGGCUCAGUGGUUAGAGCUUGGGUUUCGUAAUCGAAAGGUGGUGGUAUCGAAUCCCGCUAGAGGCUG
rnacentral:tRNA from 1 species